AGAGUCCCGCCUGGGUAAUCGUGAGCCGCGAGCCCAGUAUCGAGCCUUGCGGCGCGGGUGGUAACAGCCGCGUCGAUGCUUCGGCUGAUAAGCAGGCGAGGUGCAAAGGUAACGGGUGGAGCCGACCCUGAAGGUGUUGAGCCCCGAAAAUUUUGGUUGGAGAAUGCCGACGGGUUUGGCCCCCCGGCAGGCAACAACCCGUGUCGCGCUCUGGCGAGCGGCACGGACACUCCCCGGGGUCCUAGGGCC
rfam:Tncultured Thiohalocapsa sp. PB-PSB1 scaffold_4598, whole genome shotgun sequence.